rnacentral:rRNA from 1 species
UACGAAGGGGGCUAGCGUUGCUCGGAAUGACUGGGCGUAAAGGGCGCGUAGGCGGAUGAUACAGUCAGAUGUGAAAUUCCCGGGCUUAACCUGGGGGCUGCAUUUGAGACGUGUUGUCUAGAGUGAGGAAGAGGGUUGUGGAAUUCCCAGUGUAGCGGUGAAAUGCGUAGAUAUUGGGAGGAACACCAGUGGCGAAGGCGGCUCACUGGACCGGUACUGACGCUGAUGCGCGAAAGCGUGGGGAGCAAACGGG